rnacentral:rRNA from 1 species
CAGUCGCCGCGGUAAUACGAAGGGUGCAAGCGUUAAUCGGAAUUACUGGGCGUAAAGCGUGCGUAGGCGGUUUGUUAAGUCUGCUGUGAAAUCCCCGGGCUCAACCUGGGAAUGGCAGUGGAUACUGGCAAGCUAGAGUGUGUCAGAGGAUGGUGGAAUUCCCGGUGUAGUGGUGAAAUGCGUAGAGAUCGGAAGGAACAUCUGUGGCGAAGGCGACUAUCUGGGCCAACACUGACGCUGAGGCACGAAAGCGUGGGGAGCAAACAGGAUUAGAUACCCCUGUAGUCCCUGUCUCUUAUAC